GCAUUCACUUGUGUCUGGCAGUGUCUUGAAGAGUGUGUCCCAGAAUUCUCAAGGGUUCUUGCACCCACACUUGGUUCUUGGUGCACUCUGGUUUUACCAAAGGCAUUUAGAGAAAAUGUACAAGGUUGAUCUUGAAAUUAUGACUGCUGUUAGUCAAUGUAGAGACACCUGCUUUAGUCUUUGCCAUUGAGGUACAGUAAAAUGAGAGAGCCACUGAAUGUUGGGUCACAGAAACAUUCAAACAUUCUGAGAUGCCGCCAUGGAAAUGAGGAGAUUUAUGCAUUUGCUGUCCAUACUGAGGAUGUGAAAAAAUUUCAUCGUAUUCAGAAAAGGAAAAGGAAUUGAUGAAACUGGAAUCCAGUCUCUGUGAAAGCUACAAAGCAGGAAGGCAGGAUGGAGAAGAUGAAUCAAGGGAUAUAAAGAGAAAAAAAAAACAACAAAAAACCUGAGGCACCGAGGAACCCAAGUCUCAUUGACACUAAUGGCAAAAAUAGUGCUGAAUUAAACUGUUCUGGAAGUGAAUUACCUGCUUAUGGAAUGGCAGAGAACGACCAUCACAGUGCAAUGAAUGCUGGAAGAGUGAAAUCCUUGCUGGAUGCUUAUUUUGUUUGGAAUCCUUGCUAAAUAUACACCAAAUGGCCUCAUUUUAAGCAUUAGAAGUAAAAAAAAAAAGAGGUGUUAAUUCACCAUGGUUUUCACCUUGUGGCAUGAGAUGAUGAGGAUGGGACCUGCUAGUUCUAGUCUCUGUAUCGGCCAUAAAGUGGAGCCAAUUGCUUUUCAGAUUUUUCUUGGAGCAUGGCAAUCAAAGCCAUGAGGAUAAAAGUGGUGUUUAUUGAUUUUUUUUUUCCAAGCCUAAGAUAUUUUUAGCAAAAGCAGCAUCAGGAAAUGUAGAAUAAAACUACUUAGUAUCGACUGCUAUUCUGUGGCUUCCUACCAGUCUUAACGCACUGAUGUGGUUCAAAGUCAGCAGCAAGGGAUAAUAGUAAAGGAGCCCUUAUGGGCUUUGAUCCAUAGGAUAAAAGCAAAAUAAAUAAAAAAAAAAUUAAAAGAAAAACCCUGCACCCCUUCUUUCAGCAAAUGGUAGCUAAUAGGAUAUUUCUGAGCUCUAUCUUCUAAUUUCUGUUUGGAUAGCAUGAAAAUAAUGGCCAAGAACCUUUAUUUCUGCUAUGUUAAUUGUCACAGUAUCAAGGAUUUCAUUAUAUUCCUGAAAAUUAUGUUUGUACAAGAAAUUGCAUUCUACUGAGCUGAGUACAGAGCAAUGCAGUUCCUCAUACCCAGUAAAAGCCUGAAAAAAGUGACGCUGACCACAAAGUUGUCAGCAACAUGCCAAGUCUUUAUCCCACUGCUCACUCACCUUACGAAUACGAAUUAAAAUAGAAAUAAAAUGUUAGUUUCCACAGCCUUUGUUAAUCAUACUACAAAGGUGGCAGCAUUUGAUGGCUUAGGCAGCUUAACAUUUACAAACCAUCAUAAUCCCAAAGUCUGUAUUUCUUGGAUAGUAAUACCUGAAAUUUUGUAACUGUGCAAGGUGCCAAUGAACUCCAGUCUUACAGGAAACAAAAUCCAUUUAGGCACAUGGAAACUAUUUACAAGUGCCAAGUGGCUACAUAGAUAGAUUUAUCUGUCUGCUCCUGGAGCUAAUUUCAUUCUUACGUGAUUUCUUUAGGAGGGACAUGUAUAUUUUUAUGCUUCUGCUACUGUAAGUUGAAUUCUUUGGCAGGACUUCCAAGAACCAUCAUCAGCUUUAUGUGUACAAGGUGUAAGGGAAAAGACUGUACAUUUGUUCAUCAACCUAAAUUUUUCUGCCCUUCUGUGCUUGCAUUUUGACAUUUUUCACUUGCACUUUACCUUUUUUUCCUACAAAACCCAAGUCCCUGGCUGUGACUCUCUGGCUUGCUAAAACCCUUUCUGUUUGUUGAGCAACUCUGAUUUUGGUGAGUAUUUUGCAAAUGCUUCUCUUCAGGGGAAAUUUUUAAUUUUUCCAUGAAAACUCUUCAUACUACUAGGAAACCAAAACCACAUCUUCACUGGGAACCUUACUUUGGCUGGCUAAAAUGAAGGCAGGCAGUAAAUCCACUACAGAUACCUUAUCCUGCCUAUGUAGCUCCUCUGAGAAUUUACCAAAAUCAUGAAGGCUAGCAGAGGGCUGAUGUUCAGUGUCUGAAGGACUGCAGUGUUUUCAUUUUUUCCACAUUAGUAAAUGCCACAAAUACAAGCUCAGUCCACUGAUGCUGUGGGAAUGCAUCACCUGGUACAGUUCUUUAUUCCAUCCACAUGGACAUUUGUAAUUCUCUGUCACAGUGCUAUGCCCACUGUGCUCUGAGGAGGAGGUUAAGUGGGGCAGAAACAUUAAGCUGAAUUUAAGAUGACAGGACCUGAAGAAACUUUUUUCCCCAGAAUAUUAGUCUUGGACUGUGAAAAAAAAUCAGGUUGUCAAACUCAAAACCAUUUGAUCUUCCUGCUGUGAGCUGAUUGAGUGUGCAAGAGUUUGGAAAGGAGUUGGUAAGAAAUGUUAAAUGUACUAGGAGUUGGUAAGAAAUGUUAAAUGUACUAAAGCUAGAAUUUAAACAAGGGAAGUGAAGAGGGGGGUUAAAACUGGGCUUACAUGUAUUUUGUGGUUUGUUUUGGUGGAUUUUUUUCCCUAGAAGAAGAAGUAAAGGCUGGUCUGUUCCUACUUUAUCAUAUAUGAAAGCUCAGGAGUAACAUAAAAACCGAGUAACCAGUGAGAUUGCCAUUUUUGGCUACCACAUUAACCAUCAUAAAAUCCUCAAAUGAGACAUUAGAGCCACAUCCAUUUUUUACAGAGCUAACAGAUUAGAAAGGCUGUGCUGACAAGAUACCAAUGAGCACCUCUGAGCCCCAUUUUAAAAUGUAGGUAGGAAAAGAACCUUGGAGGAAUAUUCUCACUGAAUAUUCAAAAAUGAGCUUAACUGUGUUUCCUGCAGUAGGAGGGUGCUACAGACACUUAACUUCUGCAGCAGAUAUGCCUCAGAACAGUCUGAAUCCCUGUGGCAAUUAGAAUUAUGAUACAGUGGGAUUAAUUUAAUGUCUGUCAAGCACUCUGAAUAUGAACGUUUCUGUAUAAGCCAUAAGUAGUAGGAACACUUCUGUCAGUUUUGCUUUGCAAUCAGUCAGGCUGUUUUCUCAAUAACUUUUGGAGAGCUUUUAUUGAGUCAGUUAACCAGUCCACUGAAGUGCAAUAGAUCUGCACUAGAAAGGAAAAAAAAAAAAAACAA
rnacentral:lncRNA from 1 species